rnacentral:miRNA from 1 species
AACAUUCAUUACUGUCGGUGGGU